rnacentral:ribozyme from 1 species
UGCCCAGCAACUCCUAUCCCUACCUCCUCGUGGCACUGGCCGGGGUACGAGUAACCUUGGGGAAGAUCGGGUAACCAACCCCCGGUGGGAACUUUGGUCGUAUGCUGACAGGGAAGG